rnacentral:rRNA from 1 species
CUGCAGGACACAUGAACAUCGACAUUUCGAACGCACAUUGCGGUCCUCGGAUACUGUUCCCGGACCACUCCUGGCUGAGGGUCGUAU